rnacentral:lncRNA from 1 species
AUAGUCUAAAAACUGUGUAUGAAUAUUAAACUAUUGUUCCAGCCGUGAACAAGGUUAAUUAAUUUAAGUGUAUUAUAGUUUAGUGCCAUCUACAUAUGACUGCAUGACUGACAGCAGCGGCGAAUUUAUGACCAGUAUUAGUUUAUGUGGUUCAUUUCCUUUUCUCUAAUUUGAAAAUAUUUUUACUUGUUCCGACUGGUGUGAUAAUUUUCAAAAUAUGGGAUAAAUAGUCUUACCGUACAACACUAAGUUUUUGAAUCUUUAGUAUUAAUGUCCCAAACUUGCACCCCUUCUGCUUAUUUUCUGCUAGACGAUGUCUUUUCCCAGUGAAUAUAGGGUUUUUGAAAGGACAGUUUUGACAUACAACAUAUAGAAUACUUCCGAGACCACACUGUUUUUUCUCAUCACAAUUAUGUAGAAAUAGUAAUGAGCAACAGUUUUCACACUUGUUUUAAUAUGUUUAACUGGUCGGCAGAUAUACCAAACUCUACCACCCUACGUCCUGAUUUUCAUUUUGAAGAUCGUCUUCAGGACUGUUUUCAUAUUCAUUUUCAAUUUUUAAUUUUAGAAAAACAAGUUCAUUCUCAUAGAAGUUACAUACUUUCCGUCAAAACCGUUGACGUUGUCCCAUCGAAAAGUCGCCGGGUGCAAUUUUUACAUUGCAAAAUCUGGUCAAAGGGACGUAAUUCGUACAAAACGUCGCAAUAUUUCGCGAAAUCCACUAGACGGCGUUCAUUUACUGGUACUUGACCUUAAAACA